CGCGGCCUAUCAGCUUGUUGGUGGGGUGAUGGCCUACCAAGGCUGCGACGGGUAGCCGGCCUGAGAGGGUGUCCGGCCACACUGGGACUGAGAUACGGCCCAGACUCCUACGGGAGGCAGCAGUGGGGAAUAUUGCACAAUGGGCGCAAGCCUGAUGCAGCGACGCCGCGUGGGGGAUGACGGCCUUCCGGUUGUAAACCUCUUUCACCAUCGACGAAGCCUUCGGGUGACGGUAGGUGGAGAAGAAGCACCGGCCAACUACGUGCCAGCAGCCGCGGUAAUACGUAGGGUGCGAGCGUUGUCCGGAAUUACUGGGCGUAAAGAGCUCGUGGGUGGUUUGUCGCGUUGUUCGUGAAAUGCCACAGCUUAACUGUGGGCGUGCGGGCGAUACGGGCAGACUGGAGUACUGCAGGGGAGACUGGAAUUCCUGGUGUAGCGGUGGAAUGCGCAGAUAUCAGGAGGAACACCGGUGGCGAAGGCGGGUCUCUGGGCAGUAACUGACGCUGAGGAGCGAAAGCGUGGGGAGCGAACAGGAUUAGAUACCCUGGUAGUCCACGCCGUAAACGGUGGGUACUAGGUGUGGGUUUCCUUCCUUGGGAUCCGUGCCGUAGCUAACGCAUUAAGUACCCCGC
rnacentral:rRNA from 1 species